AGUGAACGCUGGCGGUAGGCCUAACACAUGCAAGUCGAACGGCAGCACAGUAAGAGCUUGCUCUUACGGGUGGCGAGUGGCGGACGGGUGGGGAAUACAUCGGAAUCUACUUUUUCGUGGGGGAUAACGUAGGGAAACUUACGCUAAUACCGCAUACGACCUACGGGUGAAAGCAGGGGAUCUUCGGACCUUUCGCGAUUGAAUGAGCCGAUGUCGGACUAGCUAGUUGGCGGGGUAAAGGCCCACCAAGGCGACGAUCCGUAGCUGGACUGAGAGGAUGAUCAGCCACACUGGAACUGAGACACGGUCCAGACUCCUACGGGAGGCAGCAGUGGGGAAUAUUGGACAAAGGGCGCAAGCCUGAUCCAGCCAUACCGCGUGGGUGAAGAAGGCCUUCGGGUUGUAAAGCCCUUUUGUCGGGAAAGAAAAGCAGCAGGUUAAUACCCCGCUGUUCUGACGGUACCCAAAGAAUAAGCACCGGCUAACUUCGUG
rnacentral:rRNA from 1 species